rnacentral:rRNA from 1 species
GACAGAGGUGCCAAGCGUUAGGCGGAAUCACUGGGCUUAAAGCGUGUGUAGGCGGACUCGUAAGUACCUUGUGAAAUCCCACGGCUCAACCGUGGAACUGCUUGGUAUACUGCUUGUCUCGAGCCACUUAGGGGCUGUCGGAACAAACGGUGGAGCGGUGAAAUGCGCAGAUAUCGGGAGGAACACCUAUGGCGAAGGCAGCUCGCUGGGACGUUACUGACGCUGAGACGCGAAAGCGUGGGGAGCAAACAGG